rnacentral:tRNA from 1 species
GGGGUUGUGGCUCAGAGGUAGAGCACUCGCCUAGCACCGGGGAGACCCUGGGUUCGAAUCUCAGCACCA